AUUGAACGCUGGCGGCAUGCUUUACACAUGCAAGUCGAACGGUAACAGGUUAAGCUGACGAGUGGCGAACGGGUGAGUAAUGCAUCGGAACGUGCCCGAUCGUGGGGGAUAACGCAGCGAAAGCUGCGCUAAUACCGCAUACGAUCUGAGGAUGAAAGCGGGGGACCGUAAGGCCUCGCGCGAUCGGAGCGGCCGAUGUCAGAUUAGGUAGUUGGUGGGGUAAAGGCUCACCAAGCCGACGAUCUGUAGCUGGUCUGAGAGGACGACCAGCCACACUGGGACUGAGACACGGCCCAGACUCCUACGGGAGGCAGCAGUGGGGAAUUUUGGACAAUGGGCGCAAGCCUGAUCCAGCAAUGCCGCGUGCAGGAAGAAGGCCUUCGGGUUGUAAACUGCUUUUGUACGGAGCGAAAAGGCUCUCUCUAAUACAGGGGGCUCAUGACGGUACCGUAAGAAUAAGCACCGGCUAACUACGAG
rnacentral:rRNA from 1 species